rnacentral:lncRNA from 1 species
UCUUUUGCUUAGCUUUAGGGUUCAGUUAACUAUCUCCCUUACUGGAAUGUCAUACUAGAAUAUCCUAUAAUAAUCUAAUAAGAAUAUAGUCGUGACUUGGCCACUCGUUUUUCUUUCAUCUUUGUUUCUCAAUUCCUACAGUGUUCAGGCAACUCUAUUCUCUACUUGGUGCACCUCCUCUGGCAACUAUGUGACCAAUGCCCAAUCUCUCGGUCAAACAAAUAAGUCACAUCUAAAUCUCCUGAAAUUGGUAAACCCCUUCUCUUUGGGCAGUCAACCCGGAUUCUCUUUCUGACCUUUCCUACUAAAGACUCUUUAGCUAGUGUUCUUCCUGGCAACUUCACUGGUUCCAUAGCCCCGGUAAGAUAGAGAUGAAACUACAAGUCCAGUUUUUGAGUGCUGUAUUUGUGAGAGCACAGAGCAGAGGUCGACCCCAACUCUCCUUCUCCAUAUCUUGCUACUGACAAUUGAACCGUAACACCAGGGUACCAGACUGCUUCC